CGUCUUUCCAUCACUCCCGACGAUUCCCCUCCACGAAUCUCUGUAGCAACCACGAUUCCAUCUCGGGUCUUUUAAUCACUUACAAUACAAAGAUCCCGAAAAAUUUGAAGCCUUACAGAUUUCGGAAGUCUCCAUAUCAAGAAAAUCUAAUGGAAGCAAAGAAGGCCAUCUAUCAUUUGUGGACUUGCGGCAUACGUAGUAAAACCACAACCCAAACAACAACAGCCACAACAAGGACUCAACACAUCUAAAAUGAAACGCCAAAAACAAGAACAAGGACAGUCCUCAUAAGGAAAUGAUGUGGAAGAGAUAACCAGAACUGAGUUCAGACGCUCUCAAGACUACUUAAUAUGCAUUGAGAAACCUGAAGAAGUUAUCGACCCAAUGUUCUAGAACUGUAUUCGAACUUGAUUGCACGCAAAUCAGCUCCAAUGAGACGCCCACAACAAGAACAAGGGAAGUCCUCAAGAGGCAAGGGUGGUCGUCAAAACUAAUGGCAUGGUUCUAUAAUUGUUUGCUUUCAUUGUGUUUUUUAUUUGCUAUGGAUCUAUUGUAGUAACAUUUUAUUUCUUUUGGCAUGUUUGUAAUCUGUAUGGAUCUAUUAAUUAGAGUAAAUUAUAUUAUUCUUUAUUUUUCUGAAUAUAUAAAUUAUGCAAUUCAAUAAUCCAAAUAAAAAAAUUAUAGCAUGAAAUCAAACCCAAAAAUGUGUCACUAUACAAAAUAGUAGGACAUCACAAAAAAUAAAAGCUAUGAAAAUUAACGUCAUAGCCCAACAAACAAGCUGCCUAAUAGAGUAAUAGUAUUCAAUAGGCCUGGACGUUCGGGUACCUGUUCAGGUUUUUCAGAUUUUUGGGUUUUUGGGUUUACGCUCCUAGGUUUCAUACUAAACUUUUAUUAGUAUGGGCCGGGGUCGGAUAAUAACACUUCGGGUUCGGUUCAAACUUCUAUUACAUCCUAAAACCCAUAAAGUAACCAUAUAUCGUUUGGAUUCGGGUUAUUUCGGUUCGAUUCUGAUAUAACCAAAGUAAAAAACAAAAAUUUAGAACAAAAUAUAAAGAAAAAUCUCUAAAUUAAAUAAAAUUUAAUUUAUCACACAUAAAAUUGAUAAAAUAACAAUAAAAUGUGAAAUCAAACACGAAAACAAACAUCAUUUGCAAACAAUAUGCAUUACCUAUACAUAAUAGACUAGUUAUUUCAAUGAACAAAUUUUAAAGUACUUAUUUAUAACUAAUUGUGUACUUAGAGCAUUUAUUAAAAUUUUAAUAUUUUUUUUAAAUAUCAUAUCACCACAAAUAAUAAAUUUUAUAAUUGAAACACUUAAAUAUAUUUCAAAAUAUUUAUAUUGGCUUUUAAUUUUGGAUUUUUCGGGUUACCCGUUCGGGUUCGGAUAAUUUUUGUACCAACCUAUAAGACCUGUUUGGGUAUUCUACAUUUCAGAUCGGAUAACGGAUUGGGUUCUGGAUUUUAUGCCCAGGAAUACUAUUCGAGAACACCGAAAAAUACUAGCCAAGCUCGGUCGCUACGUAGCGACCGAUCACACACACGGCUCGAUCGCUACGUAGCGACCGAACUUUCCCAAAAACGUCGAUACAACACGAAUCCGUAGCGACCGAGCUUGGCUUGAGCUCGGUCGCUACGUAGCGACCGAACUUUCCCAAAAAGUCAAUACAACACAAAUCCAUCCAUUCUCGUCUACUCUUUAAUGAUAUCUCCCGUAGGCCAUGGCUAAACCAUUCUUUGUUUCUCAUCACUCAAAGUCAUCAGUCAAACUUUAUGAUAAAAACCGUGGGAAGUUUGUUUUUAUCAAAGAAACCUUAAUAAAAGUUUCGAGUCCAAGACGGCCCAAAGAGACCUAAAACGCAACUCGAAGCCCACUUAUGAUUUCUUAACUGAAAACCCAUAAGCCUUAUGAGGGUUUAUGCUUGGUUCGUAAGGCAAGAUAAUGUCAAGUUUCCGCGGAUAAAUGUGAAAUUUCCGAAGAUAAUCACGAAGAUCGGGAAAAUUGGAAUAUCUCCAUUUUUGAGCUAUGACGGCUUAAGGGCAGAAGGGAAGGCGCAAACCGACCUAGGAGCAAGUAUAUAAGGAGUCUUAGGUGAGAGGCAAAGGGGAUGGGGGGACACAGCGACCUCUCGGCACUUAGAAACUUUGAGGCAUUAUUCUCAACAUGCUGUUCUAUGACUGGCACCCGAUUACCAGACGAACGCCACAAGCAGUCCGAUCUCUUGGUUCACUCUUGAACUACGUUCGGCUUGAUCCUCGAAAGGGAUACGUAGGCAGCCUUUCAUAAGAUUCAGUCUGAAAUCAAUCAAAACCGUUUUCAUAUCUUUGUCGUCUUCUAUUAUCGAGCUGCGACUCAACUAGGUUUAAGGUUUUAGGUUGCUAGAACUAGGUAAUUCGCUGACAGCUCUUGCGGCCGAAGCCUUUAUAAUCUCUUCUAAUGAUCGCAACGCUCUUACGCGGAUUCAAAAUAAGAUCUACCUUUUCUAUAAAUUCGUUUUGUUAUCUUUUAUUAUUUUCCGCAUUUAUUUGGUCACUUGUCAUUGGCUUUCGCAGAGAAUCCGGGACCUAAGGGAAAGUUAAUAUUUCCUGACUUUCCUCCGAUUACGGAAAUCGGUGUGAAUUUCGGUUGCCACAAUGUUAUGCCACUUAAAUAACGCCAUAUAAUAGUGAAUAAUAGCAAAAGGGAGGUGCUAUAAAACGGUUUAAUAUAGCGGAGUGUGAACGCUACAAUAUCUCUAUUUAUUAUAGCUCAUGAAAAAACGCUACGAUAAGGGGGGUCUACCAUAGCAGCGGCUGUCAUGGCGUUUGUGAAAACGCUACGAAAACUUUAUUUCUAUUUUCGGUGUGCUACUAAUGUCGAUAUUUCUUGCAGUGAUGUAUUUAGAUUCAUGGUCCUUAUAUAUAUCUAGGAAUUUCUCUUUGUAUAAAUAAGGGUCAUUGCCUUGAUAAUAAACCAACACAAGUUACUACUACAUAUAGGGAUGUUAAUAUGGGCUCAAGAUAACAUGGUUAACUUUAACCAUGUCUACUUUUUUAAACCCUAACUAGAUUUUGACCCGCGCUUUGAAAGCGCGGGAUUAUUUUUUGGUAACAAAUUUAUUAACCCGUCUAUAUAUUAACUAAUAUGUUAAACAUGGCCGUUUGGUUUGGUCCAUUUUAUUAUUUGCUGGUUUUUUAUUUUAGUUCGGUUUAAUGUUUUCAUUUUUUCGGUUUAAGAUAUAGAAACUGCUAAGUUAUUUAUGAAAUUGAGUUUGGUUAGGGUGAUUGAAUAUUUUGGUUUUCAGUUUGUUCGAUAUAAUGAUGUUAGAAACCCGUUAAAUUUCAAGUACUUCAAUUAUACAACGGGGGCUAAUCUUUUAAAACUGAUUUUGAUUCAUGAUUAACCUUUUUUUUUCAACCUUUGAGUUUUAAUAUUUAUAUUUGAGAAUUAAUUUAUUUUUAAAAUUCCUAAUAUAUUUUUAUUAUUUUUAAUUUUGUAUAUACUUCAAAAAACAAAAAAAUUAGUUGUUGGUUUUUCAAAUUAUAUUGAUUAUUUUUCAAAUUAGUUUCAAUUCUUAAUAUACUUCUAAGAUAAUUAUCUAUUGCAUGAAGUUUGAUGGUUGAAGGUGGCGGUUGAGGCUUGAAAUUUUUAUAUUUUGGUUUUGUUUUCAUUGAAUAAUGUUUUUCGUUUCAUGAGAACUUUGUUGUCGUUUAUUCUUUUAGUUAUUUGGUUAUCUUUCGAUUAAUUACUAUGUUUACAUUUUAUUUGAUUUUAAGUGGUCACGUUUGAUGUUUCUUUUUUUAUUUUUGAAUUGAUUUUACUUAUGUUUCGGUCAUAAAAUAAGUACAAAUCAGAUACUCUAAAAUCAAAGAACUGACUUUACUUAUGUUUUGACUACAAAUUAGGUAUAAAUCAGAUACUUUUAAACUAAAGAACCGAUUGGGACCCGAACCCAAAAUUACAUCGGGUUAUACCGGUUCUCUGAUGAUUUACUAAUCUCGACCUGAACCCGAUAGAACCCAAAUAUGACUGAUUUUGAUAAACCUAAAUAACCAAAACCCGAUUAGACAAAGCCGAAAUCCGAUUGGGACCCCGAAUGUCCAAGCUUAAAAUAUAUAUUAUCAUUUCAAAUCACUUAAACAACUUUGAAAUUUUUAGAAAAUAUCAUACCAAAUCACCUAUUGGUUUCAUUUUUAUUUUUAAGUUUUACUAAAAUCACUCAAAUAAUUUCAAAUUUCACCUAAAUCCAACCAAAAUUAAAAUA